AUUGAACGCUGGCGGCGUGCUUAACACAUGCAAGUCGUGCGGUAACAGGCGUAGCAAUACGUGCUGACGAGCGGCGAACGGGUGCGUAAUACAUGGGAAUCUGCCUUUUAGUGGGGAAUAACCCGGCGAAAGCCGGGCUAAUGCCGCAUAAGAUCUUCGGAUGAAAGCGGGGGAUCGUAAGACCUCGCGCUGAUAGAUGAGCCCAUGCCGGAUUAGCAGUUGGUGAGGUAACGGCUCACCAAGGCGACGAUCCGUAGCUGGUCUGAGAGGACGGCCAGCCACACUGGGACUGAGACACGGCCCAGACUCGUACGGGAGGCAGCAGUGGGGAAUAUUGGACAAGUGGGGAACCUGAUCCAGCGACGCGCGUGUGUGAAGAA
rnacentral:rRNA from 1 species